rnacentral:ncRNA from 1 species
UCGGCUCCGGUUCACGUUGGUCGUAUCCCGCGACAACGACCCGGCGCC